rnacentral:rRNA from 1 species
UACGUAGGGUGCGAGCGUUAAUCGGAAUUACUGGGCGUAAAGCGUGCGUAGGCGGUUCUCCAAGUCCGUUGUGAAAGCCCCGGGCUCAACCUGGGAAUGGCAGUGGAAACUAGGGGACUGGAAUCUGGCAGAGGGGGGUGGAAUGCCGCGUGUAGCAGUGAAAUGCGUAGAGAUGCGGAGGAACACCGAUGGCGAAGGCAGCCCCCUGGGUCGACACUGACGCUCAGGCACGAAAGCGUGGGGAGCAAACAGG